UACGAAGGGGGCGAGCGUUGUUCGGAAUUACUGGGCGUAAAGGGCGCGCAGGCGGCUCUGAAAGUCAGAUGUGAAAGCCCCGGGCUUAACCUGGGAAUUGCAUUUGAUACUCUGGAGCUUGAGUACGGGAGAGGAGAGUGGAAUUCCCAGUGUAGAGGUGAAAUUCGUAGAUAUUGGGAAGAACGACCGGUGGCGAAGGCGGCUCUCUGGACCGUAACUGACGCUGAGGCGCGAAAGCGUGGGGAGCAAACAGG
rnacentral:rRNA from 1 species